rnacentral:rRNA from 1 species
UACGAAGGGGGCUAGCUUUGCUCGGAAUCACUGGGCGUAAAGCGCACGUAGGCGGAUUGUUAAGUCAGGGGUGAAAUCCUGGAGCUCAACUCCAGAACUGCCUUUGAUACUGGCGAUCUCGAGUCCGGGAGAGGUGAGUGGAACUGCGAGUGUAGAGGUGAAAUUCGUAGAUAUUCGCAAGAACACCAGUGGCGAAGGCGGCUCACUGGGACGGUAUUGACGCUGAGACGCGAAAGCGUGGGGAGCAAACAGG